AUUGAACGCUGGCGGCAGGCCUAACACAUGCAAGUCGAGCGGAUGACGGGAGCUUGCUCCUUGAUUCAGCGGCGGACGAGUGAGUAAUGCCUAGGAAUCUGCCUGGUAGUGGGGGACAACGUUUCGAAAGGAACGCUAAUACCGCAUACGUCCUACGGGAGAAAGCAGGGGACCUUCGGGCCUUGCGCUAUCAGAUGAGCCUAGGUCGGAUUAGCUAGUUGGUGGGGUAAUGGCUCACCAAGGCGACGAUCCGUAACUGGUCUGAGAGGAUGAUCAGUCACACUGGAACUGAGACACGGUCCAGACUCCUACGGGAGGCAGCAGUGGGGAAUAUUGGACAAUGGGCGAAAGCCUGAUCCAGCCAUGCCGCGUGUGUGAAGAAGGUCUUCGGAUUGUAAAGCACUUUAAGUUGGGAGGAAGGGCAAUAAGUUAAUACCUUGCUGUUUUGACGUUACCGACAGAAUAAGCACCGGCUAACUCUGUGCCAGCCGCCGCGGUAA
rnacentral:rRNA from 1 species